rnacentral:rRNA from 1 species
UUGGCACCUCGAUGUCGGCUCAUCGCAUCCUGGGGCUGUAGUCGGUCCCAAGGGUUGGGCUGUUCGCCCAUUAAAGCGGUACGCGAGCUGGGUUCAGAACGUCGUGAGACAGUUCGGUCCCUAUCCGUCGUGGGCGUAGGAAAUUUGAGAGGAGCUGUCCUUAGUACGAGAGGACCGGGAUGGACAUACCUCUGGUGUACCAGUUGUCGUGCCAACGGCAUAGCUGGGUAGCUAUGUGUGGACGGGAUAAGUGCUGAAAGCAUCUAAGCAUGAAGCCCCCCUCAAGAUGAGAUUUCCCAACUUCGGUUAUAAGAUCCCUCAAAGAUGAUGAGGUUAAUAGGUUCGAGGUGGAAGCAUGGUGACAUGUGGAGCUGACGAAUACUAAUCGAUCGAAGACUUAAUCAA